AAACCGCCCCCUAAGUUUCGGAACUAUAGCAGUUUUGGCCCCCCAAGGCCAAAAUAAAAUAAAAUAAUAACACGUGGCACCUCACUUAGGGUGCCACGUCAGCGUAGACCGAGUCAAUAUUAGCCUUCGGGGCCAAAACUGCUACAGGUGCAAAACUUAGAGGGCGGUUU
rnacentral:pre_miRNA from 1 species